CCGAGGGCACGUCUGCCUGGGCGUCA
rnacentral:rRNA from 1 species